UUCAGACAACUCUAGAGUUGUACUCGUUCCUAUCAAAUUAAUUGGAUCAAAAAAUGACAGUUUGUGGAGUUGUUCAAUGUGAAUUGUCCUCUUAGGAAAGAGGAAAUAUGGUUUGAUCAUUGGAUCCUGCAAUGACUCGUACAGGGAGGAACUUCAUGAACAAUGGAAAACUUGCAAUGCAAUUGUCCUCUCUUGGAUCAUGAAUAAUGUUAGUGAGAGAGUCCGCUCUCUGGCAUUGUUUAUGCUACAAGUGCUUAUGCAGUCUAGGAGGACCUAAAGGAAUGAUUUGACAAGGUGAAUCGCAUGCGCAUCUAUCAGUUGCAUCGCGAAAUUAAUAUGCUUUCCCAAGGUACUGAUUCAGUUUCAAUCUAUUUCACAAAAUUGAAAAGCUUGUGGAGUGAGUAUAAUGUUUUAGUUCCUAAUCCAAGAUGUGAUUGCCCUAAAUCUAAGGAGUAUUUAUAUCACAUGUGUCAGCUGAGACUGUUGUAGUUUUUUGAGUGAGCUAAAUGAGUCAUAUGAUCAAGCUCGGAGACAAAUUUUGCUAAAGGGAGUGACUCCAACUAUCAAUCAUGCUUAUGCCAUGCUUAUAGAGGAUGAACCAACCUAGCCCAAGCUUCACGGGCCAAAAAAUUUGAUGCGCUAGGACGGGCCGGCCCUUUACUUUAAAUGGCCUUAAAAUGUAUGACCCAACCCAGCCCUAAUAGGGUCACGGGUUGGGGCAGGCUAACCCUUUAUUUUUAUCGAUUUUUUGUUAGAUUUUCUUUUUCAAUUUGAACUAAUAGAUAUGGCAGUCCAUUCGCACUUCUAACACAUUAUUAUAUAAAGUACAUAAUUCUACGAUGAUUUAUAAUAUUUCAACACCAAUACAUUGUCAAACAUAUUUGAAUUCAUUGAUUACAUUAUCUUAAUAAACAUCAACAUUCAUCUAAAUUCAUAUACAAAUUUAACAAGUUGAACAAUAUCAAAAAAUUCUAUAUCAAAAAUUUAUAAUAUUUAAAAUUCACUUAAAACUAUUAUUUCUUUGAAUUUGGGUAUUGUUGUGCAAUUGAUUUCGAGUGGUUGCAACAUGUGUUUGAACAUUUUCUAAUGGAUGCAGUUUUUAUAUUUAUGAUUAAAAAUUUUAAUAUUUAUCAUUUAAUGCUAAAUGAGUAAAAUAUUGUGUAAGAUACUUGGUAAAAUUUAUUGAGUAAUCACAAUUUAUAUUUUUAAUUAUUUUUUCUUUAAUUUUAAGUUUAAAUUGAACAACAAUAACAAAUGAAACAUCAAUACUUGAUGAUUAAGGUUUAAGACUUACUAAGUUAAAUAUCAUGUAGGAUAUUAAACUUAUUCAAUAACUAUUAUUCUUAAUUAUUACUUUUUCUUUUACAAUAUUCAUAUAUAUUUUUAAUUUAAAUUAAAUAGUAUUUUGACCCACGGGCCGGCCCGGCCCAGCCUUAGUCAAGCGUCAAGGGCCAGCGGGCUGACUUGGGCUGGACAUAUAAUCCCAGUUUUAAAUGGGCUCAAAAAUCACAACCCAACCCUUAUAGCGGGCUGGGUUGGGUCGGCCUCAAGGGCCAAGCCCAUUUUGACGACUCUAGUCAUAACCACUUGCCAUGAAAGUGAAUCGAAGUUAUACUAAUGGACAAAGAAGUACCAACUACAAAGGUAGAAAUUGUGACUAUUGUCACCUCUAAUGUCAUGCUAAGGAGAACUGUUUUAAACUGAUAGGUUAUCUCACUGAUUGAAAUCAAAACAAGAAACUAGGUCUGGUUCUAGGUCAUAUGGUGGUGGUAAAAACUAUUCCAGUAAUGGUGGAAAGUUUUAUCAACUUGAAAAUAUGGUAGCAGGACAAGUUGAUGUUGCUAGUCCCAGUCAUGACAUAGGUUUUACACCACCGGCAAAGGCUCAUACAUUCACAGAAAAGGAAUAUACUCAAAUCAUGAGCAUGUUGAACAAGGAUAACAAGGAGAUGAAACAGUCAAUAUGACAAGUAUUACCACUUGUUUUUUGUCUAAAGUUUGUUCUGAAAGUUACAUGUGGACUCAGGUGCCACACAUCAUAUGUCUGCAAACAGACAUAUGUUCAAUGAUAGUACAUGCUUAAUUCAAAGUCACAAGGACAAUUACACCUUCCUACUGGUGAUGAAGUGCAUAUUUCCCAUACUAGAGAGACUUACAUAUUGCAAAUGAUAUGAUCAAGGAUGUUCUAUUUGUUCCAGACUUCAGACUUAAUACGUUAUCUGUUGCUAAGAUAAUCAAGGAAGUAUCUUGCUUUGUUUCCUUCUAUCCUGAUUUGUGUGUCUUUUACGACCUAUUCAGUGACAAGGUGGAGGGUAUUGGUAGACAGAAGGGUGUACUUUAUAUUCUUAAAGGAGAAUUGGGAAGAUAAAACUUAUCCUGUAAGACUAAAGCAUAGUAAGAUCAUUACAGAAGUUUCAUCUACAAGAUGUACACUAUGGCACAAGAGACUUGGGCAUCCAGCUUCACGGGUUUUAAGAUGCUUAGACCUUUUGAAGAAUCUUACUAAUGUAGAUAUUCUUAAUAAAUGUACAAUCUGCCAAUUAGCUAAACAAACUAGGUUAUCAUUUCCUAAUAGUGUUACUAAGUACUCUACCUGUUUUGAACUUGUACACAUGGAUUUCUAGGGACCUUAUAAAUCUUCUGCUUUUGAUAAUAAGUACUAUUUUUUUACUAUGGUGGAUGAAUAUAGUAGAUACAUUUUGGUUCAUCUGUUGUAGCUAAAAUCUUAGACCAUAGUGGCUAUUAAGAUCUUUAUUUCCAUGAUCAAGACAUAGUUUGGUGUAUUGAUAAAGACUACAAGGUCUGAUAAUGGGACUUUAUUAAUUCUCAAUGUCAAACCUUGUUUUGGUCUUUAGGUAUUUUGUAUCAAACCAGUUGUCCUCAUACAAUACAAUAAAAUAGAGUUAUGGAGAGGAAGCACAGACAAAUAUUUAAUAUAACUAGAGCUCUUAAAUUUCAGUCUCAUUUGCCCAUUAAGUAUUGGGGGUUGUGUGUGAAGGCUGUUGUAUAUAUCAUGAAUAAGUUACCAUCUUCAGUGUUAGGUAGUAAAAUCCCUUUUCAACUGUUAUUUUUUAAAGAGCCUAACCUAUCCCAUUUACGGGUCAUGGGUUGCCUGUGUUAUGUGAUAAUUGCCCCUAGAGGUGAUAAGUUUCCUGAAAAGGCAAAACCUGUUGUGUUAGUAGGAUAUUCAAAUUCUCAAAAGGGAUACUUACUACUAGACAUGUAAUCUAAGAAGUUGUUAGUUAGUAGAAAUGUUGUGUUCCAAGAAUAUAUAUUUUCUUUUGACCAGUCACAAAAAAAAUUGCACCCGCAGCAGCUUCCAAACCUGAUACAAACAUAAUUGAUUUCUUAGUUUCCGUGAUGUUUUUUUAUGAGGAUACUUCAUUUUCUCCAUCACUAGUUGAAUAUAAUACUUUUAUUGAUACUGCACCACCUAAUAUUGAUACAAAUGACAAAAAAUAGUGCAGAUAGUCCAGUUGAUCCCUCAUUGGCUCAAACUUUAUCUAGUGGUCCUACCAGAACUAUUAGGCCACCUGUAUGGAUGCAAGAUUAUGUUGAUUCCUCUAGAAGCCAAAAAUGCAAAUAGCUUGUCUUACAACAAAGUAAGCAAUGCUUAUCAAUGUUACUUGACAAAGUUCUCUAGCUUAACUGAACCUGAGCACUUUAAGCAAGCUAUAAAAGAUGACAGAUGAGUGAAAGCCAUGAAGUUAGAGAUCCAAGCCUUGAAAGCCAACAACAUAUGGACCAUUGUUAACUUACUCAAAGAGAAGAACACUGUUGGUUCCAAAUGGAUAUACAAAAUAAAAACUAUCUUACAAAUGGUGAGGUAGAAAGUUUCAAAGUAAGAUUAGUGGACAAAGGCUGUGUCAGUAAAAGGGGCUAGACUAUCAUAAGACAUAUUCACUAGUUGCUAAAAUGGUAACAGUCAAGUGUGUGAUUGUAGUAGUUGUGUCUAGAGGAUGGAGCCUUCAUCAAAUGGAUGUCUAUAAUGCCUUUUUACUGGGUGAUCUUGAAGAAGAAGUAUACAUGGAACUGCCAUAAGGUUUCAAGAGAAAGGGAGAGAAUAAGGUCUGCAAGCUGCACAAAUCUUUGUAUAGUCUCAAGCAAGCUUCAAGAUAAUGGAAUCUAAAGCUUACUAAUGCAUUACUUGAUGCUGGAUUUACUCAAAGUGCACAUAAUUAUUCCCUUUUCACUCUACAUAAAGGUGCACAUGGAGAUGAAUUGUUAUCAGAUGCUUCUUUUUAUCAAAGACUUAUGGUCAAGUUCAUGUAUGCCACCAUUACAAGACCUGAUAUCAGUUUUGUUUUCCAAAUACUCAGUCAGUUUAUGCAACAUUCUAAGAGGUUACACAGGGAAGCUGCUACAAGAGUAGUCAGGUAUCUAAAAGGUUUGUUGGACAAGGUAUUUGGUUAAAGAUUGAUUAUUCUACUGCUCUUACUUGUUAGGGUGACUCAGACUGAGCUGCCUGUCCUAACACUAGAAGAUCAUUCACUGGAUAUGCAGUUUAUUUGGGUUAAUCCUUGAUAUCUUGGAAGUCCAAGAAACAAGAUAAUAAGUCCAGGAGUUUUGUUGAAGCUGAGUAUAGAAGCAUGGCUUCAGUAGUUGCAGAGAUAACUUGGAUAGCUGGUUUUUUCCAGGAACUCAAUGUUCCCAUUACUUUGCCUAGAUGAGUAUUUAGUGAUAGCAAUUUAGCUAUACAACUGGAAAACAAUCUAGUGUUUCAUGGGAGAACAAAACACAUAGAGAUUGAUUGUCACUUCAUCAGGGACAAGAUCAAGAGUGGCUUGAUCCAGGUUGUUUAUGUCAACACUCAUGAUUAGGUUGCUUAUCUUAUCACUAAGAGCUUAAUUCAAGCUCAACAUGCACAUUUAUUAGGCAUUACCUCAUUCUUUUGAUUUGAUUAAUAAAAAAAUAAUAUGAUAUUCCUCUUGGAGAGAGUAUUUAUUUAUUGAGUUAAGCAUCUAGCAUCCUAUGAUUGUUUUAACAUGUGAUUACUGCAUCUUCUUUAUGUACAUGGCUACUGUUUCAUUAGAUACUUUACGGUUUUAUUGAUCAAUUAAUUAAUCGGUUAAUGAAUUAGUUGAAUAAGUUGCCAAAUAGUUAUGAGGUAGUUAGCUGAGUUGUCAAUGAACUGGAAGUGAGCUAACAAAAGCUCAGUUGCUCAGUCUAUAAAUAGGGGCAACAAUGCUUUGUACAAAGAGAGAUCAAUCAAUAAAAUUAGUUUCUCUUUUCAUUUUCUCUCCAUUAAUCAUGAAUAAUCAAGCUGCAUUGCUUGAUUUUCACAUGGUAUUACAGCCUGGAGCUCAGUACUGAGAAGAUUCACAUUGCUUCUCAUCCAGUUCUCUGAGGAUUUUUGGGAAUUGUGUGAUCCCUAUUUUCUUCUUCCUCUUCGCAGAGUUAAGUUUUUUCUUUUUGUUGUCCAACGGUUCAUCUAUGGCCCCAAAAAUUAAUCAAGGUGAUCCACUUUUCAUUGGUGCUUCAGACAGCUCUAGAGUUGUACUCGUUCCUAUCAAAACGUGACACCUUUGACAUGGACUCCAUUUUUAUGGAAUAAAUCUGUCAGGUCAGCCCAAAAGAGUGACAAAAAUACACUAAAAUUGACUUCAAAGGGGUAAUAGGAUCCUAUAAAAUUAUAAUAUGUCGUAGCAAUUUUGGCCAUAAUUCGUAAGUGUACUGGAUGCUUAUCUCAUUUUUAGCCUCUUAUGUACUUAUUAAAUAAAAGGCUUGACAAAAGAAUAGUUGAGAAAUUGAUCCAACUAUAAGCUCAAAUCUUAUGUACUUUCGAGAUAGGAUAUGCAUGAUUUGUAGCGAGUAAAGCAUUUAGAAUCCUUUGAACUAUCAUCGAAUUGGUUAUGAAACACUCCAAUUUUACAGGGAUU